rnacentral:rRNA from 1 species
AUUUACGCUGGCGGCGGGCCUAAGACAUGCAAGUCGAGCGAGAAAACCCCGCAAGGGGCGAGUAAAGCGGCGAACGGGUGAGUAACACGUGAGUAACCUGCCUUCCGAUGGGGGACAACACUUCGAAAGGGGUGCUAAUACCGCAUACGUCUCCGAGGAUUUCGGUCUUUGGAGGGAAAGACGGCCUCUGUAUACAUGCUGUCGUCGGAAGAGGGGCUCGCGUCCCAUUAUGCUAGUUGGUGAGGUAACGGCUCACCAAGGCUCUGAUGGGUAGCUGGUCUGAGAGGACGACCAGCCACACUGGAACUGAGACACGGUCCAGACUCCUACGGGAGGCAGCAGUCGGGAAUCUUGGACAAUGGGGGAAACCCUGAUCCAGCCACGCCGCGUGGGUGAUGGAGGCCUUCGGGUCGUAAAGCCCUGUCAGAAGGGAAGAAAGGGUCUGCGGUUAAUACCCGCGGGUCUUGACGGUACCUUCAGAAGAAGCACCGGCUAACUACGUGCCA